rnacentral:misc_RNA from 1 species
GAUGAAGAACGUAGCGAAAUGCGAUAAGUAAUGUGAAUUGCAGAAUUCAGUGAAUCAUCGAAUCUUUGAACGCACAUUGCGCCCGCCAGUAUUCUGGCGGGCAUGCCUGUUCGAGCGUCAUUUCAACCAUCAAGCCCCAGGCUUGUGUUGGGGACCUGCGGCUGCCGCAGGCCCUGAAAACCAGUGGCGGGCUCGCUGUCACACCGGGCGUAGUAGAUUUUAUCUCGCUCAGGGCGUGCUGCGGGUUCCGGCCGUUAAAAAGCCUUUUUUACCCAAGGUUGACCUCGGAUCAGGUAGGAAGACCCGCUGGACUUAAGCAUAUCAAUAAGCGGAGGA